rnacentral:ncRNA from 1 species
ACCGCGGGAGAGGCAUUCAAAUGCCGCCGAAGGAGCAACCGACCCGGAAACUCUCAGGCACCCGGACCGC